rnacentral:lncRNA from 1 species
ACACACACACACACACGUUCUCCUGGGGCCGCUUGCUCUGGCCAGGGAGAAGAAACCACAAGGCACCAGUUGGUCAGCAUUAUGAUGAGGAAAUUAUUUUUGAAGGAUAGUUGAAAUGAACACAAAGUAGAAGAAAAAAUUUAGAAGGAAACCACAAGUGAGUAACAGUGAUGAUGACAAGGGAAUGAACAAAGAGUUAGGAACUAAGAAGGCCUUGGCUUGCAGACUUUUACAAGAGCCUGGUACAAGAAGACUGGUGUGUGAAGAGCAGUGCUGGUCUUCCUUAGGGACCAGACAGGAGGCGAGAGGCUUAAGUUGCUGUGUGGGAUUUAGAUAACAGAAAAGGAAAAAUUUUCAGACAGUGAGGUUUGAUAGACACUGGGAUGUGUAACUGGGGAAGCUUGUGGAAUUUCCUUCUCUCAACAUCUUUUUAAAAACCGACAGCAUCUCAUCUGCUUAAAGGAUGGACUCUAUUUGACCUCUAAAGUGUCUACUGAACCCAGAGGGUGAACCUCAUCUCCCAAAGGAAAAGAGAGCUUGUGUGAUCCCGAGGAGCUUGAAUGAUGAAAAUAUCAUGAACAUUUUUCAUGCUUAAUUUGAUUUCCACAUGGUAUAUACAUAAAUCAUAACUGCUAUAGCGAGUCUUUUGGUCUAAUGUUUUUGUUGUAAGGUCUGGAGAUUAGAGUUUAAGUAAAAGUCUUCUAGGGAGAGAAGGCAGAACUCUUUUAUCUGACUUUUUGAGCUUAUUUGUAGGAGAGCAUAAUAAGCAAGGUGAAAAGGUUAUUUCUGACUUUGAUUUCACUUCCCAUGCUAAAUUUAAAAAUUACCAUCUUUUUUGUUGGCUU